rnacentral:rRNA from 1 species
AGCGAACGCUGGCGGCAGGCCUAACACAUGCAAGUCGAACGAAGUCUUCGGACUUAGUGGCGGACGGGUGAGUAACACGUAGGAACGUACCUUUUGGUUCGGAACAACUCAGGGAAACUUGAGCUAAUACCGGAUGUGCCCUUCGGGGAAAGAUUUAUCGCCAUUAGAGCGGCCCGCGUUAGAUUAGCUAGCUGGUGGGG